rnacentral:rRNA from 1 species
CCUACGGGAGGCAGCAGUGGGGAAUAUUGGGCAAUGGGCGCAAGCCUGACCCAGCGACGCCGCGUGAGGGAUGAAGGCCUUCGGGUUGUAAACCUCUUUCAGUAGGGAAGAAGCGAAAGUGACGGUACCUAAAGAAGAAGCACCGGCUAACUAUGUGCCAGCAGCCGCGGUAAUACAUAGGGUGCAAGCGUUGUCCGGAAUUAUUGGGCGUAAAGAGCUCGUAGGUCGUUUGCCGCGUCGAUUGUGAAAAUCUGAGGCUCAACCUCAGACCUGCAGUCGAUACGGGCAAACUAGAGUGUGGUAGGGGAGACUGGAGUUCCUGGUGUAGCGGUGGAAUGCGCAGAUAUCAGGAGGAACACCAAUGGCGAAGGCAGGUCUCUGGGCCAUAACUGACACUGAGGAGCGAAAGCGCGGGGAGCGAACAGGAUUAGAUACCCUGGUAGUCCGCGCCGUAAACGGUGGGCACUAGCUGUGAGGACCUUCCACGGUCUUCGCGACGCAGCAAACGCAUUAAGUGCCCCGCCUGGGGAGUACGAUCGCAAGAUUAAAACUCAAAGGAAUUGACGG